rnacentral:rRNA from 1 species
UACGUAGGUGGCGAGCGUUGUCCGGAUUUACUGGGCGUAAAGGGCGUGCAGGCGGUUUGUUAAGUGCAGGGUGAAAGCUCCCGGCUCAACUGGGAGAGGUCCUUGCAUACUGGCGAACUCGAGGGAGGCAGAGGAAAGUGGAAUUCCCGGUGUAGUGGUGAUAUGCGUAGAUAUCGGGAGGAACACCAAUUGCGAAGGCAGCUCGCUGGGACGUGACUGACGCUGAGACGCGAAAGCGUGGGGAGCAAACAGG